rnacentral:rRNA from 1 species
GCCUAGGAAUCUGCCUGGUAGUGGGGGAUAACGUUCGGAAACGGACGCUAAUACCGCAUACGUCCUACGGGAGAAAGCAGGGGACCUUCGGGCCUUGCGCUAUCAGAUGAGCCUAGGUCGGAUUAGCUAGUUGGUGAGGUAAUGGCUCACCAAGGCGACGAUCCGUAACUGGUCUGAGAGGAUGAUCAGUCACACUGGAACUGAGACACGGUCCAGACUCCUACGGGAGGCAGCAGUGGGGAAUAUUGGACAAUGGGCGAAAGCCUGAUCCAGCCAUGCCGCGUGUGUGAAGAAGGUCUUCGGAUUGUAAAGCACUUUAAGUUGGGAGGAAGGGUUGUAGAUUAAUACUCUGCAAUUUUGACGUUACCGACAGAAUAAGCACCGGCUAACUCUGUGCCAGCAGCCGCGGUAAUACAGAGGGUGCAAGCGUUAAUCGGAAUUACUGGGCGUAAAGCGCGCGUAGGUGGUUUG